CACGAUAGGAUCGGAAACUGAGAGCUGUGGCCUCAAAAGCCAGAGUGGGUGCUCCUGGAAGAGGAGGAGAAGAUUAUGGUGGAUGCAGUAGUCCUGGGGAUGGCCUUCAGCAGAGGAAGAACAUGGAUCUGCUAGACUAAGUCCAGAGGAGACCACGAAGAUAAUCUGAGGGCUGGAGCACCUCUGCUGUGAGGACAGGCUGAGAGAGUUCAGGUGUUUUACCAAGUCCCAUCGGUGGACUCGCCCGCAUCCAGCAUUGCAGGGGCACCCCUGGCUGCACCUCUGAAGAGUGAUGAUGGGGGUUUAGUGAAAGGAAUGGGGUCCACUGUGGCUGCACAUGAAGAUCUCAAAAAGCAGUGCCAGGUCGAGCUGUAUGAACAGAAAGAACUGCCAUCCCUGGAGAGGAGGGCUCCGUCUUCUGCCCGAGACGCUGGAGUUUGCUUCUCGGCUCAGCCAAGAAUGCAGAUGUAGGAAAG